rnacentral:rRNA from 1 species
UCGAGAAUUUUUCACAAUGGGCGCAAGCCUGAUGGAGCGACGCCGCGUGGGGGAUGAAUGGCUUCGGCCCGUAAACCCCUGUCAUUUGCGAUCAAACCUCGUUAUUUAAAAGAUGACGAGCUGAUAGUAGCGAAAGAGGAAGGGACGGCUAACUCUGUGCCAGCAGCCGCGGUAAUACAGAGGUCCCAAGCGUUGUUCGGAUUCACUGGGCGUAAAGGGUGCGUAGGUGGUGAGGUAAGUCGGAUGUGAAAGCUCGGAGCUCAACUCCGAAAUGGCAUUGGAAACUACCUGGCUCGAGGGUUGGAGGGGGGACUGGAAUACUUGGUGUAGCAGUGAAAUGCGUAGAUAUCAAGUGGAACACCAGUGGCGAAGGCGAGUCCCUGGACAACUCCUGACACUGAGGCACGAAAGCUAGGGGAGCAAACAGGAUUAGAUACCCGCGUAGUCC